CUCUAUCUUUUGCUGAAAUGUAAUUUGCCAUUAUUUGUUUUUGCUUUCACUAAGGUGAGGAAGAUCUUUUGAGUCCUCCCCAGGACACAAGCACAGGGUUAGAGGAAGUGAUGGAGCAACUCAACAACUCCUUCCCUAGUUCUAGAGGAAGAAAUACCCCUGGAAAGUCAAUGAGAGAGGACCCAAUGUAGGAAGCCUGUUCCACAUGGCAGAUGAUUUGGGCAGAGCGAUGGAGUCCUUAGUUUCAGUCAUGACGGAUGAAGAAGGGGCAGAAUAAAUUGUUUUACAAUUCCUGAUUCCCGCAUGGUUUUUAUAAUAUUCAUACAACAAAGAGGAUUAGACAGUAAGAGUUUACAAGAAAUAAAAUCUAUAUUUUUGUGAAGGGUAGUGGUACUAUAUUGUAGAUUUCAGUAGUUUCUAAGUCUGUUAUUGUUUUGUUAACAAUGGCAGGUUUUACACGUCUAUGCAAUUGUACAAAAAAGUUAUAAGAAAACUACAUGUAAAAUCUUGAUAGCUAAAUAACUUGCCAUUUCUUUAUAUGGAACGCAUUUUGGGUUGUUUAAAAAUUUAUAACAGUUAUAAAGAAAGAUUGUAAACUAAAGUGUGCUUUAUAAAAAAAGUUGUUUAUAAAACCCCCUAAAAACAUACACACACAGCACACACACACACACAAACACAAACUGAGGCAGCGCAUUGUUUUGCAUCGUUUCAGCGUGAUAUUCAUAUGAAAUUCAUGGCUUUUUUUUCUUGCAUAUUAAAGAUAGGACUUCCUCUAACACCACCAAAUGACUACUUCAUGUUGGUCUUUUGGGAAUUGCUGACUGAGUGGGGCUGGUGAUAGGCUUUCAUUUUAUACAUCUAUAUGUCUGUAAGUAUAUAAAUACUAUGGGUGUAUAGAUAAAUAUGAAUUCCUACAGACUUUUAAAUUUCUUCAAAUGUUCCUGCCACUUCUUAAUGGGAAAAAAUUGCUUCUGGUCAUCCAAGCUUACCUGCUUGGGUAAGAAUGAAUUUUUACUGGAGCCUGAAACCAGGAGGAAACAUUGUCUAGGGCUCCAGAUGUUUCUCAUUUUAAACUUUCCACUGACAACUACAGUAUUGAAUUUUUUUAAAGGAACAUAUGAAUGAAUACACAGGACUUAUUAUAUCAGAGUAAUCUGUCAGUUGACAUAUUCAGCUUUCUGCUGCUGGCUAUGCCAUGAUUUAGAUUUAAUGAUGCUUCUAUGAAAGAGCAUCAGAAGGUCUUUUUAACUCCCAGGCAGUUGGAGGACUAUAGAUUUCCCAGCUGAUCCCUGUGAGGGAGCAGGCUGCUCUUGAAGCAGAGAUUUGGGUGAAUGUUCAUAACUAUACAUACAUAUAUCUAUAAUUACAACUAGAUUAUUCUGCCCUGUUCUCACAGUCAAACUGAAGUGGGUGGUUUUGUUGUUAUUGUUGUUUUUUAGAUUUUUUUCCCAUUGUGAUGAGUUUUUAAAUGCUGCAGACUUAGUUUAAAAUAACCCUUAGGAAAAUGUGUAAGACAGUAGCCCCAUCCCAUUGUGACACUGAUAAAUAUCAGUCUAGAACUGUGUUUGCCUCCUUUACAUUUCUCUGCAAGUAAUUCUGAAAUACAGGAUUGUAAGGGGGAGGGAAAAUCAACUCAAAUGUUCCAAAAGCAAAAGCUUCUCCAACCCCUUUUAGUGAAUUGGGCGUGUUAAAUAUAUAAACAAACAUUAACUAUUCAAAAGAGAAAAAAUGAAGAGGAAAAGCUAAGGACUGCUAGGAAAAAGCUUUACUCUUUCAUGUCAUUUUAUCACUCUUUCAUUUGAAAAAAAUCAUUCUUUCAAUAGAAAUCACCAUUUGUUAUUAUUUUGCAAAUCUGUUACCUCUGACAUCGAGUGUAAUUAACUUUUGGAGAGUGGGUUUUGUCCAUUUUAUUAAUGAUAAUUAACAUCAAACACAGCUUCUCAUGCUAUUUCUACCUCACUUUGGUUUUGGGGUGUUCCUGGUAAUUGUGCACACCUGAUUUCAUAGUUUCACCACUUGCCUAUUGUGUGAACAUUUUUCUCAAUUUUCUUUCUCCUUUAUAAUUUCCAAAAGAAAACCCAAAGCUCUAAGGUAACAAAUUACAUGGAGAUUUGGUUUUAGUCUUGCAUUUUUGCCUUUUCUGUGGUGUUGGACUUUUUCUUUACUCAAAGAUUUGUUUUAACCAAGAUUUAAAACAAGGGGUUACUUUACAUCCUACUAAGAAGUUUUUAAGUUUCAUUCUAAAAUCAGAGGUAGAUAGAGUGCAUAAUUUUGUUUUAAUCUUUUGUUUUGUUUUAUCUUUUAGAUAUUAUUUCUGGAGUGAGCCUGUCAAAAUAUUUGAAUAAAAAUGAGAGCUUUAUUGCUGAGGUUUAAGCAUAAUUUUGACAUUAUUUUGUUGAGUAUUAAACUGUAAGUCAUAAUCAAUGUAACUGAAGCAUAAACAUCACAUGGCAUGUUAUGUCAUUGUUUUCAGGUACUGGGUUCUUACUUGAGUAUCAUAAUAUAUUGUGUUUUAACACCAACACUGUAACAUUUACUAAUUAUUUUUUUAAACUUCAGUUUUACUGCAUUUUCACAACAUAUCAGACUUCACCAAAUAUAUGCCUUACUAUUGUAUUAUAUUACUGCUUUACUGUGUAUCUCAAUAAA